UACGGAGGAUGCAAGCGUUAUCCGGAUUCAUUGGGUUUAAAGGGUGCGCAGGCGGAAUGAUAAGUCAGUGGUGAAAUCCUACAGACUCAACAUGUAGAACUGCCAUUGAUACUGUUGUUCUUGAGUACACUUGGAGUGGGCGGAAUGUGUCAUGUAGCGGUGAAAUGCUUAGAUAUGACACAGAACACCGAUCGCGAAGGCAGCUCACUAAAUUGUAACUGACGCUCAUGCACGAAAGCGUGGGGAUCAAACAGGAUUAGAUACCCUGGUAGUCCACGCUGUAAACGAUGAUCACUCGAUGUUGGCGAUAUACUGUCAGCGUCUAAGCGAAAGCAUUAAGUGAUCCACCUGGGGAGUACGAUCGCAAGAUUGAAACUCAAAGGAAUUGACGGGGGCCCGCACAAGCGGAGGAGCAUGUGGUUUAAUUCGAUGAUACGCGAGGAACCUUACCUGGGCUAGAACGCUGGACGACCGUCCGUGAAAGCGGAUUUCCCUUCGGGGCGGCCAGCGAGGUGCUGCAUGGUUGUCGUCAGCUCGUGCCGUGAGGUGUCGGGUUAAGUCCCAUAACGAGCGCAACCCCUAUCAUUAGUUGCCAUCAGGUCAUGCUGGGAACUCUAGUGAAACUGCCUACGCAAGUAGUGAGGAAGGUGGGGAUGACGUCAAAUCAGCACGGCCCUUACGUCCAGGGCUACACACGUGCUACAAUGGCCGGUACAGUGGGCAGCUACCUGGUGACAGGAUGCAAAUCUCCAAAACCGGUCUCAGUUCGGAUCGAAGUCUGCAACUCGACUUCGUGAAGUUGGAUUCGCUGGUAAUCGUAUAUCAGCAAUGAUACGGUGAAUACGUUCCCGGGCCU
rnacentral:rRNA from 1 species